rnacentral:lncRNA from 1 species
UGUAACAGCUCUAAUCUUCUGGCGCUCAUAUGACCUUAUGCAGUUGCGAGCGCUGUAAAACCUCUACUAAAGCUUAUAGAAUUUGUAUAACUCGGAACACAACGCACAAAAGUGAGUUGUUUUGUUGUACUGAAAUUGCCUCUUGUGUUGUUGCUUUUCAAUAGUUCCAUGUGACACGUCUGUCUAUAGCUCUCCACGUAGUUUUACUAGACCGGGUACUGUUGCGCUGCACAUUUUGUCCUUUCAGUAUGAGGUGCCGUAUUUGUUUUAGAAUUCGGGUCACUUUUAAGUAUGAGAUGUCAUAUUGUAUGACAUUUUUUAAAUUAGUUUUGUUUGAGAAUUUUGUGUCAGUUUUGUAUGAAUUGUCAUAUUGUGUGAGAUUUUAUGUCAGUUUUGUGUGAGAUAUUACAGUGUGAGAUUUUAUGUCAGUUUUGUGUGAGAUAUUACAGUGUGAGAUUUUAUGUCAGUUUUGUGUGAGAUAUCACAGUGUGAGAUUUUGUCAGUUUUGCAUGAAAUAUCAUAGUGUGAGAUUUUAUGUCAGUUUUGUGUGAGAUAUCACAGUGUGAGAUUUUAUGUCAGUUUUGCAUGAAAUAUCAUAGUGUGAGAUUUUAUGUCAGUCUUGUGUGAGAUAUCACAGUGUGAGAUUUUAUGUCAGUUUUGCAUGAAAUAUCAUAGUGUGAGAUUUUAUGUCAGUUUUGUGUGAGAUAUCACAGUGUGAGAUUUUAUGUCAGUUUUGCAUGAAAUAUCAUAGUGUGAGAUUUUAUGUCAGUCUUGUGUGAGAUAUCACAGUGUGAGAUUUUAUGUCAGUUUUGCAUGAAAUAUCAUAGUGUGAGAUUUUAUGUCAGUUUUGUGUGAGAUAUCACAGUGUGAGAUUUUAUGUCAGUUUUGUGUGAGAUAUCACAGUAUGAGAUUUUAUGUCAGUUUUGUAUGAGACUUCGUGUCGGUCAGGAAUGAGAUGUCAUUGUGUAUGACAAUAAUGUCAGUUUGAUGUAACAUUUCUGUCACAUAUGUACCGGUAUGACAUCGGAGUUUUGCCGGGGAUUUCUGUCAGUUUAGAAGACACUCGGAUGCACAAAAAAAGCCCCACAAACAAAAACAAGAUUACACUCAGGAUAAUCAUGUAAAAGAACUCAGUAAGUGUACGGCUCUGUGAUGCCAGUACAUGUGUACGGCUCUGUGUAGCCAGUACGUCUAUGGCUCAGUGUUGCCAGUACGUGUGUACGGCUCUGUGUAGCCAGUAAGUGUAUGGCUCUGUGUAGCCAGUAAGUGUGUGGCUCUGUGUAGCCAUGUAGCCAGUAAGUGUACGGCUCUGUGUAGCCAUGUAGCCAGCACAUGUAUGGCUCUGUGUAGCCAUGUAGCCAGUACGUGUACGGCUCUGUGUAGCCAUGUAGCCAGUACGUGUGUGGCUCUGUGUAGCCAUGUAGCCAGUAAGUGUAUGGCUCUGUGUAGCCAUGUAGCCAGCACAUGUAUGGCUCUGUGUAGCCAUGUAGCCAGUACGUGUAUGGCUCUGUGUAGCCAUGUAGCCAGUACGUGUAUGGCUCUGUGAAGCUGCUCUCUUUUUUACUGUUGUACAGCUUGCUGACUCUUUGUUCGUUGAGGGUGGGUAGUCGGCGGGUGCUCUGGUGUGGUUUGCUCCUUCUUUCCUAUAAAAAAUCUAUCGUCCUUAUCUCUCCUCCUCCUUUUUAGUUUUAGUGUGAGUUACUCUCUUGUUCCACCUGUAGGGGGUGGUUGGAGGUUGUCUGUGGUAAGUAAACUUGACACUUGUAUGCUAUUUAUUUUCCUUUUUGGUGUCAAGUUUAAGUUGAACAGUUUAAGUUGAACAGUUUAAGUUGAACAGUUUAAGUUGAACAGUUUAAGUUGAACAGUUUAAGUUGAACAGUUUAAGUUGAACAGUUUACGGCAGAGCUUCAUUGUUUUAUGUUUUGUUUUUUGUAAUUUUCUGUUGGUAUUUUUUUAUUUCCUGAUUUUUACAUUUGUGGUGGGGGAUGGUAGUUUAAGAAGUUUUAUGAAGUGAGGGGCUGAGAUGUAAAACCUGCUACAUCAAUUUUAGCACUUUUGAGAAAGUCUGUUUUUUAAGAUGCUGCUAUACACUCAAAGCUGCUUAAAAAGAAGAUUUGUUGGUGGCUUUUAGGAAGUAUGUGUUGGGUUUUGGUCAAAAACACUUUUGUGCAUCUGAUAGCCGGUAACAAUGUGCAGCUAUAAGCAAAUAAUCUCGAUUAGUUUCUUAAAUGUCUCUUAGCUGGUUUUGCAUCUCACCCCCCCCCACCCCCCAAAUGUUUUUGUUCUGUGAUGGUAUGUCAGUGGUCUGGAAAGAAAUCUUUUAAAAUGAAUUUGUUUUAGUAAGUGUUUUAUGGCACUUGCAACACAGUAAGGUCAUGUAAGUGCCAAAAAUUUGAGGUGUUACAAGAGAGUAACAAACACAAAAAAGAAGGAGAAAAUAUAAGGACGAUAGAAUAGAUGUUUGAUUGAUAGGAAAGAAGAAGCGAACCACUCCAGAGCACCCGCAAACCACCCACAUCCAUAAUGAAUGAAAGUGAAAGCGAAACUGAUAACCCUUCAAGUAGUUCAUUGAUACUCUGAUACUUGAAAACGAUGAGUUACUAUGUCAAUGUUUCACGGCACGCUGGAAUCAGGCGCUUCUCAGUUUUUGGGUAUAAAUUAUGAUAUAAUAUGAAGUUAUUAUUGUCUUAAAGCUUUUUCAUAUGUCUUGCUUUUGAUGAAAAAACCAGCCACCUAUCUGGAAUGGACGUUAAGACGUCGCAGACAGAAGGAGGCGGGGGUCGCCUGGUGUCAGAUGAAUAAAUUAGUGAGAAAAUAGGACGAGGGUCGCCUGGUGUCAGAUGAAUAAAUUAGUGAGAAAAUAGGGCAGGGGUCGCCUGGUGUCAGAUGAAUAAAUUAGUGAGAAAAUGGCCACCAUAGUUUGGUGACUUCUGAAACUUGGGUAUCCUUGGAAACAGCAAGUUUACAUUUUUUGGUGUCUUUAAUUAAUUUAAUCAAAGUUUUUCAGUAAAAUCUACUUAGAAGUGUGUUUUUAAAUGAACUUAUCCUUAAACUUAAAAGAUGUUGAGCCCCCCCCCCCAAAAAAAAACCAAGUCCAAAUUCGAUAAAAAUUUGUGGGAAAAUGCCAGUUUCUUCGAUUUCAUUAUUUUGACGAGCGCCUUAUUUCACCAAGAUGCUUCACAUAUUAUAGUUUACUACUGAAAGUAAUACGUGUUAUAUAUGUUGAUAUCUAGUUAUACUUUACUGCAGUGAGUAAUACGUAUUCUAUAUGUUGAUAUCUAGUUCUAUUCUGUACGACAGAACAGAUAAUUUGUUGCUACAGCAUGUCAGUGAAUGAGGUAGACGCUAUUUUUGUGUGUCCAAUUGCGAAUCUUCUCUUGAGUGCUUGCGGGGAGUUGGCGGGUGCCCUGCUCCUUCUUUCCUGUCAAACAUCUAUCGUCUUUAUCUUUCCUUUUUGCGUAUGUUACUCUCUUAUAACACUCAACACCUCGAAUCUUAUCUUCGGACGGUACUUGCAUGACCUUAUUGUGUUGCAAGUGCCGUAAAACUAUUUCCGAAACUUAACUAAAAAGAUCUAUCGUCCUUAUUUCUUUUUUUUUAGUUUGUAUGUUACUCUUUUGUAAUAUUUCUAUUCUUCAGCAAGUAUAUGAAUGACCUAAUUGUGUUACAAAUGCUGCAAAACACUCCCUAAAUUCUCAAUGUCACCUGUUUUCCUGGCACUAAGCCUAAGUGAGUUAUUGUGAAAAUACUCUUCUCUUUAUUGGAACGUACAAAUGUAAAACGACAGUACCGACUGGGUGGUGGUAUACUUGGAAUCAGUGUACAUGUGUACAAAAGAAGCUUUGUGCAAUUUGCCGAGUCCAACAAAUGCGCUAAGUUUUCUCAUCAAUGUGCUUGCUAUUGUUCUACUACGUUGUUGCCUUACAACACUUUCACAACAAAAAUUCUUUCUAGUAAAAUUUUUGAAGAUUUAAAAAAAAUGUUUUUUUAUCAUAAUUAUCAUUCAUUUUGUUGCUUAUUUAAUUUUCUUUUUACUUUUUUAAAAUUCGAUUAUGAAAAAAAAAAAAGAUUGAAUUUCUUUUUCCUUCACUUUUACCUCUUUGUAUCAGAUUUUAAGAGUUUUUGCUUGUCAAUUGUGGCUGUGAUGUUGUGGCCAUACAGUUGUUUUACCAUUGUUGACAGUCUCCGAUGUGUGUGCGUGUGUGUGUGUGUGUAUAAGUACUUCCUGUGUGUACCUUCUUUGAGUUCUUCCGAAUUCGUGGCCUGUCAAGUGGUUGAGUGUUCCGUCAUUUUCUCGUGCCCAGCUUGUGGAUUUUCUACCAAACUUGACCUGGAACUUUACGUUUCACCAUUGCUUUUAUGAUGUAUCAUGUAUGUACAUAUCCAUCCAUCCAUCCGUUUUACAGUGAAUCUGGGCUGUUUUCCUUUCCGAAUAAAGUGAAGAACUUGUUCUGAGAAGCUCUGAGAGUUCAUCAUGUCGCGACCUCAGCGAUUUCUUGUGGUAUCUCCAUUUUUUUCAACAGUGAAAUUGUGACUUCUUCUUAAGUCACACUCUUUUUUUUGUUAUGAACUGUUUGCACCGACUGUUAUUAAAAAUGGAGACAGGACAUGAAAGUACUGAGGUCGACAUGAAAGCACUGAGGUCGACAUGAAAGUACUGAGGUCGACAUGAAAGUACUGAGGUCGACAUGAAAGCACUGAGGUCGACAUGAAAGUACUGAGGUCGACAUGAAAGCACUGAGGUCGACAUGAAAGCACUGAGGUCGACAUGUGUGUCCUUUUCAUAUUCUGAUCUUCUGAAGUUACCUGACUUGCCUGGAAUAAGAAAACACACUGUACUGUAAGACCUGCAGUGUUUUGUAUAUUCGGUUGUUUAUUGUCAAUCUUGGAUUUUAUCACAUAUACUUAGAAUCAUUUCGCCAGAUAAAGCAAAAAAAACAAAAAAACCAAAAAAAACAAUAAAAACCCAACCAAACAAAA